rnacentral:rRNA from 1 species
UACGUAGGGGGCGAGCGUUGUCCGGAAUGAUUGGGCGUAAAGGGCGUGUAGGCGGCUCUGUAAGUCUGGAGUGAAAGUCCUGUUUUUAAGAUGGGAAUUGCUUUGGAUACUGCCGGGCUUGAGUGCAGGAGAGGUUAUCGGAAUUCCCGGUGUAGCGGUGAAAUGCGUAGAGAUCGGGAGGAACACCAGUGGCGAAGGCGGGUAACUGGACUGCAACUGACGCUGAGGCGCGAAAGUGUGGGGAGCAAAC